rnacentral:rRNA from 1 species
GAUGAACGCUAGCGAUAGGCUUAACACAUGCAAGUCGAGGGGCAGCAUGGUCUUAGCUUGCUAAGGCUGAUGGCGACCGGCGCACGGGUGCGUAACGCGUAUGCAACUUGCCUCACAGAGGGGGAUAACCCGUCGAAAGACGGACUAAUACCGCGUACACUCUAUGUUGGGCAUCCAAUGUAGAGGAAAUGAAAUUCGCUGUGAGAUAGGCAUGCGUCCCAUUAGCUAGUUGGUGAGGUAACGGCUCACCAAGGCGACGAUGGGUAGGGGAACUGAGAGGUUGAACCCCCACACUGGUACUGAGACACGGACCAGACUCCUACGGGAGGCAGCAGUGAGGCAUAUUGGUCAAUGGGCGAGAGCCUGAACCAGCCAAGUCGCGUGAAGGAUGACUGUCUUAUGGAUUGUAAACUUCUUUUAUACGGGAAUAACAAGAGUCACGUGUGGCUCCCUGCAUGUACCGUAUGAAUAAGCAUCGGCUAACUCCGUG